CGGAAGAUGUAACGGGGCUAAGUAGUAAACCGAAGCUGCGGCAAUAUACUUUUGUAUAUUGGGUAGGGGAGCGUUCUGUAAGCGGUUGAAGGUGUGUGGUAACGCAUGCUGGACGUAUCAGAAGUGCGAAUGCUGACAUGAGUAACGAUAAAGGGGGUGAAAAACCUCCUCGCCGGAAGACCAAGGGUUCCUGUCCAACGUUAAUCGGGGCAGGGUAAGUCGACCCCUAAGGCGAGGCCGAAAGGCGUAGUCGAUGGGAAACGGGUUAAUAUUCCCGUACUUCUUACAAUUGCGAUGGGGGGACGGAGAAGGCUAGGUGGGCCUGGCGACGGUUGUCCAGGUUCAAGUGCGUAGGCU
rnacentral:rRNA from 1 species